rnacentral:tRNA from 1 species
GCCCCAGUAGCUCAGACUGGCUAGAGCACCCGCCUCGUAUCCCUGGGAAAGCGGAAGGUCACGAGUUCAAAUCUCGUCUGGGGCU